rnacentral:piRNA from 1 species
GAGGAAUUUGUGUGGAAACAGGAU